CCUACGGGAGGCAGCAGUGAGGAAUAUUGGUCAAUGGACGAGAGUCUGAACCAGUCAAGUAGCGUGAAGGAUGACUGCCCUAUGGGUUGUAAACUUCUUUUAUAAAGGAAUAAAACGAGGCACGUGUGCCUUUUUGCAUGUACUUUAUGAAUAAGGAUCGGCUAACUCCGUGCCAGCAGCCGCGGUAAUACGGAGGAUCCGAGCGUUAUCCGGAUUUAUUGGGUUUAAAGGGGGCGUAGAUGGGGUGUUAAGUCAGUUGUUAAAGUUUGCGGCUCAACCGUAAAAUUGCAUUUGAUACUGGCAGUCUUGAGUACAGUUGAGGUAAGCGGUAUUCGUGGUGUAGCGGUGAAAUGCUUAGAUAUCGCGAAGAACCCCGAUUGCGAAGGCAGCUUACUAAACUGUGACUGACAUUGAUGCUCGAAAGUGUGGGUAUCAAACAGGAUUAGAUACCCCAGUAGUC
rnacentral:rRNA from 1 species